GACGAACGCUGGCGGCGUGCUUAACACAUGCAAGUCGAACGGAAAGGCCCUGCUUUUGUGGGGUGCUCGAGUGGCGAACGCGUGAGUAACACGUGAGUAACCUGUCCUUGUCUUUGGGAUACCUUCAGGAAACUGGGGCUAAUACAGGAUAGGAGCUCCUGCUGCAUGGUGGGGGUUGGAGAGUUUCGGCGGUUGGGGAUGGACUCGCGGCUUAUCAGCUUGUUGGUGGGGUAGUGGCUUACCAAGGCGUUGACGGGUAGCCGGCCUGCGAGGGUGACCGGCCACAUUGGGACUGAGAUACGGCCCAGACGCCUACGGGAGGCAGCAGUGGGGAAUAGUGCACGAUGGGCGGAAGCCUGAUGCAGCAACGCCGCGUGCGGGAUGACGGCCGUCGGGUUGGAAACCGCUUUCGCCUGUGACGAAGCGUGAGUGACGGUAAUGGGUAAAGAAGCAACGGCUAACUACGUG
rnacentral:rRNA from 1 species